rnacentral:rRNA from 1 species
GACGAACCGUACAAACGUUAUUCGGAAUUACUGGGCUUAAAGGGUGCGUAGGCGGCUCGGUAAGUUGGGUGUGAAAUCCCUCGGCUCAACCGAGGAACUGCGCCCAAUACUGCCGGGCUCGAGGGAGACAGAGGUGAGCGGAACUUGCGGUGGAGCGGUGAAAUGCGUUGAUAUCGCAAGGAACACCUGUGGCGAAAGCGGCUCACUGGGUCUCUUCUGACGCUGAGGCACGAAAGCUAGGGGAGCGAACGGGAUUAGAUACCCCUGUA